CUACGGGCUGCACCAGUGGGGAAUAUUGCACAAUGGAGGAAACUCUGAUGCAGCAACGCCGCGUGGAGGAUGACACUUUUCGGAGCGUAAACUCCUUUUAUAUAGGAAGAAGAUGACGGUACUAUAUGAAUAAGCGCCGGCUAACUCCGUGCCAGCAGCCGCGGUAAUACGGAGGGCGCAAGCGUUACUCGGAAUCACUGGGCGGAAAGAGCGUGUAGGCGGAUUAAAAAGUCAGAAGUGAAAUCCUAUAGCUUAACUAUAGAACUGCUUCUGAAACUAUUAAUCUAGAAUAUGGGAGAGGUAGAUGGAAUUUCUGGUGUAGGGGUAAAAUCCGUAGAGAUCAGAAGGAAUACCGAUUGCGAAGGCGAUCUACUAGAACAUUAUUGACGCUGAGACGCGAAAGCGUGGGGAGCAAACAGGAUUAGAUACCCCUGUAGUC
rnacentral:rRNA from 1 species